rnacentral:tRNA from 2 species
GGAAGUGUGGCAGAGCGGCCGAAUGCGCCGGUCUUGAAAACCGGUAGACGGUGACCCCGUCUCGCGGGUUCAAAUCCCGCCGCUUCCG